GGUUAAGCGACUAAGCGUACACGGUGGAUGCCCUGGCAGUCAGAGGCGAUGAAGGGCGUGCUAAUCUGCGAUAAGCGCCGGUAAGGUGAUAUGAACCGUUAUAACCGGCGAUACCCGAAUGGGGAAACCCAGUGUGACUCGUCACACUAUCAUUAACUGAAUCCAUAGGUUAAUGAGGCGAACCGGGGGAACUGAAACAUCUAAGUACCCCGAGGAAAAGAAAUCAACCGAGAUUCCCCCAGUAGCGGCGAGCGAACGGGGAGGAGCCCAGAGCCUGAAUCAGCAUGUGUGUUAGUGGAAGCGUCUGGAAAGGCGCGCGAUACAGGGUGACAGCCCCGUACACAAAAGCGCAUGUGCUGUGAGCUCGAUGAGUAGGGCGGGACACGUGGUAUCCUGUCUGAAUAUGGGGGACCAUCCUCCAAGGCUAAAUACUCCUGACUGACCGAUAGUGAACCAGUACCGUGAGGGAAAGGCGAAAAGAACCCCGGCGAGGGGAGUGAAAAAGAACCUGAAACCGUGUACGUACAAGCAGUGGGAGCACAGGUUUACCUGUGUGACUGCGUACCUUUUGUAUAAUGGGUCAGCGACUUAUAUUCUGUAGCAAGGUUAACCGAAUAGGGGAGCCGGAGGGAAACCGAGUCUUAACCGGGCGUUAAGUUGCAGGGUAUAGACCCGAAACCCGGUGAUCUAGCCAUGGGCAGGUUGAAGGUUGGGUAACACUAACUGGAGGACCGAACCGACUAAUGUUGAAAAAUUAGCGGAUGACCUGUGGCUGGGGGUGAAAGGCCAAUCAAACCGGGAGAUAGCUGGUUCUCCCCGAAAGCUAUUUAGGUAGCGCCUCGUGAAUUCAUCUCCGGGGGUAGAGCACUGUUUCGGCUAGGGGGCCAUCCCGGCUUACCAACCCGAUGCAAACUGCGAAUACCGGAGAAUGUUAUCACGGGAGACACACGGCGGGUGCUAACGUCCGUCGUGAAGAGGGAAACAACCCAGACCGCCAGCUAAGGUCCCAAAGUCAUGGUUAAGUGGGAAACGAUGUGGGAAGGCCCAGACAGCCAGGAUGUUGGCUUAGAAGCAGCCAUCAUUUAAAGAAAGCGUAAUAGCUCACUGGUCGAGUCGGCCUGCGCGGAAGAUGUAACGGGGCUAAACCAUGCACCGAAGCUGCGGCAGCGAACGUAUCACUUAAAGCGAUUCAGCGGGUUACGAUUGACGGAGCGAAGCGACGUCAAAGCGUAUACAAAGUCGAGUCGGUUUAAGGAUACGUUCGUUGGGUAGGGGAGCGUUCUGUAAGCCUGUGAAGGUGUGUCGUGAGGCAUGCUGGAGGUAUCAGAAGUGCGAAUGCUGACAUAAGUAACGAUAAAGCGGGUGAAAAGCCCGCUCGCCGGAAGACCAAGGGUUCCUGUCCAACGUUAAUCGGGGCAGGGUGAGUCGACCCCUAAGGCGAGGCCGAAAGGCGUAGUCGAUGGGAAACGGGUUAAUAUUCCCGUACUUGGUGUUACUGCGAAGGGGGGACGGAGAAGGCUAUGUUGGCCGGGCGACGGUUGUCCCGGUUUAAGCGUGUAGGCUGGUUUUCCAGGCAAAUCCGGAAAAUCAAGGCUGAGGCGUGAUGACGAGGCACUACGGUGCUGAAGCAACAAAUGCCCUGCUUCCAGGAAAAGCCUCUAAGCAUCAGGUAACAUCAAAUCGUACCCCAAACCGACACAGGUGGUCAGGUAGAGAAUACCAAGGCGCUUGAGAGAACUCGGGUGAAGGAACUAGGCAAAAUGGUGCCGUAACUUCGGGAGAAGGCACGCUGACACGUAGGUGAAGUGAUUUACUCAUGGAGCUGAAGUCAGUCGAAGAUACCAGCUGGCUGCAACUGUUUAUUAAAAACACAGCACUGUGCAAACACGAAAGUGGACGUAUACGGUGUGACGCCUGCCCGGUGCCGGAAGGUUAAUUGAUGGGGUCAGCGCAAGCGAAGCUCCUGAUCGAAGCCCCGGUAAACGGCGGCCGUAACUAUAACGGUCCUAAGGUAGCGAAAUUCCUUGUCGGGUAAGUUCCGACCUGCACGAAUGGCGUAAUGAUGGCCAGGCUGUCUCCACCCGAGACUCAGUGAAAUUGAACUCGCUGUGAAGAUGCAGUGUACCCGCGGCAAGACGGAAAGACCCCGUGAACCUUUACUAUAGCUUGACACUGAACAUUGAGCCUUGAUGUGUAGGAUAGGUGGGAGGCUUUGAAGCGUGGACGCCAGUCUGCGUGGAGCCGACCUUGAAAUACCACCCUUUAAUGUUUGAUGUUCUAACGUGGACCCGUGAUCCGGGUUGCGGACAGUGUCUGGUGGGUAGUUUGACUGGGGCGGUCUCCUCCUAAAGAGUAACGGAGGAGCACGAAGGUUGGCUAAUCCUGGUCGGACAUCAGGAGGUUAGUGCAAUGGCAUAAGCCAGCUUGACUGCGAGCGUGACGGCGCGAGCAGGUGCGAAAGCAGGUCAUAGUGAUCCGGUGGUUCUGAAUGGAAGGGCCAUCGCUCAACGGAUAAAAGGUACUCCGGGGAUAACAGGCUGAUACCGCCCAAGAGUUCAUAUCGACGGCGGUGUUUGGCACCUCGAUGUCGGCUCAUCACAUCCUGGGGCUGAAGUAGGUCCCAAGGGUAUGGCUGUUCGCCAUUUAAAGUGGUACGCGAGCUGGGUUUAGAACGUCGUGAGACAGUUCGGUCCCUAUCUGCCGUGGGCGCUGGAGAACUGAGGGGGGCUGCUCCUAGUACGAGAGGACCGGAGUGGACGCAUCACUGGUGUUCGGGUUGUCAUGCCAAUGGCACUGCCCGGUAGCUAAAUGCGGAAGAGAUAAGUGCUGAAAGCAUCUAAGCACGAAACUUGCCCCGAGAUGAGUUCUCCCUGAGACUUAAAGUCUCCUGAAGGAACGUUGAAGACGACGACGUUGAUAGGCCGGGUGUGUAAGCGCAGCGAUGCGUUGAGCUAACCGGUACUAAUGAACCGUGAGGCUUAACCUU
rnacentral:rRNA from 1 species